rnacentral:rRNA from 1 species
GACGAACGCUGGCGGCGUGCUUAACACAUGCAAGUCGAACGAUGAUGCUCCAGCUUGCUGGGGUGGAUUAGUGGCGAACGGGUGAGUAACACGUGAGUAACCUGCCCCCUUCUUCGGGAUAAGCUUGGGAAACUGGGUCUAAUACUGGAUAUUCUGCAAUUGUCGCAUGGUGGUUGUGGGAAAGAUUUUUUGGUGGGGGAUGGGCUCGCGGCCUGUCAGCUUGUUGGUGGGGUGAUGGCCUACCAAGGCGUCGACGGGUAGCCGGCCUGAGAGGGUGACCGGCAACACAGGGACGGAGAUGCGGCCCAGAGGCGGACGGGGGGCAGAAGUGGGGAAUAUUGCACAAUGGGCGCAAGCGUGAUGCAGCGACGGCGCGUGAGGGAUGACGGCUUUCGGGUUGUAAACCUCUUUCGAUGGGGAACAAGGCCAUAGUUUUGUGUGGUUGAGGGUACCUGUAUAAGAAGCGCCGGCUAACUACGUG